rnacentral:rRNA from 1 species
UUGGACCUGAUAUCAUGCAAGAUUACCCGCUGAACUUAA